rnacentral:rRNA from 1 species
AGCAGCCGCGGUAAUUCCAGCUCCAAUAGCGUAUAUUAAAGUUGUUGCAGUUAAAAAGCUCGUAGUUGAAUUUCGGGGUCAGCAAGUUGGUCGUGCCACCGGUAUGCACUGGCUUUGCUGAUUCCUCCUUCUUGUAGAACCGUAAUGCCAUUAAGUUGGUGUUGCGGGAAAACAGGACUGUUACUUUGAAAAAAUUAGAGUGUUUAAAGCAGGCUAACGCUUGAAUACAUUAGCAUGGAAUAAUGAAAUAGGACGACGAUCCUAUUUUGUUGGUUUCUAGGAUUGACGUAAUGAUUAAUAGGGAUAGUUGGGGGCAUUAGUAUUCAAUUGUCAGAGGUGAAAUUCUUGGAUUUAUUGAAGACUGACUACUGCGAAAGCAUUUGCCAAGGAUGUUUUCAUUAAUCAAGAACGAAAGUUAGGGGAUCGAAGACGAUCAGAUACCGUCGUAGUCUUAACCAUAAACUAUGCCGACUAGGGAUCGGAUGAUGUUAAUUUUAUAAUGACUCA